UAUGUAUAUACUUGCAUUGUAAGCUCAUGAUGUAUUGAAAUUAUUUACUUUGUGCUGUUCUCAUGCGAAUUUCAUGGUCACCAAACAGCAAGAGCGUGUUUAAGAGGAAUGGACAGAAGAGAAUCAUAGGAAACUAUGAAACGCAUGACUUUUGGGAAACAUGUUAGAGGAUGUGCAAGCAAACAACAUUUGUGUUGUCAAUCUGGCUGUUUGGUGUUUGUUUUAAGGAUAUUAAAUAUUCUGAACCGUCCAUUUAUUAUUUUUACUUUCCAUUUUUUGUUUUUCCUUUUAUGUUUUUCUGCCAACCGUUUCUAUUGAAACUAGAGUGAGAUAACUCUGCGUUUCUUGUGGUAAAUGGAGUUGCAAAUGAUCCAUGAACCAAGAAUGUGAUGCUGAGGAGCAAUUUUGACCUCUGAGUCGUUUCGGACAUCAAAUAUUGAAUGACGAGGAACAUAAUUUCAUUCUCGUGUUGAGAUUUAGAGGGAAAACAACAACAAAGAAAGUGUAACUUUCAAUAUCUGCAUUUGGGCCAUGGGCAUGGAUUCUCUAAAACAUUCUACUGAUCAUUCUGUCUGAGAACUUGAUUUAUGCAAAAACAGAAAUUCUUGCCCUGAAAACUGAAUGUGAUAGCCAAUCCUUUGGCCCCUUGACUUGGAUAAUUACAGUGACGUAGUGAUAAGUUUGGCAAGAUGAGAAGUUCAAGAGGUCGCAGCAUGAAACAUACACGUUUGUUUCAUCGUGAAGAUCAAAGAAGUCAAGAAGAAAAGAACAUUGUGUGGGAGAGAGUGGAGGGUGAUACUGAUAAAAGUUUUAGGACAAGGGAGAUUCCAGUGAAGAGGUUGUUGAAUGUAGGGCAUUUUACAAGUGCUUCAGGGGACUUGUCAAAGUUUAGCAAGGGAAAGAACUUUUCAGCAGGAAUGAAUGUCAUGGACUAUGAUGUACCUGAACUGGUUGUUUUUAUUCAAGAGGAUAAUGAACAGUUUGUGAAGGACACUUGCAUUGGUA